rnacentral:rRNA from 1 species
AUUGAACGCUGGCGGCAGGCCUAACACAUGCAAGUCGAGCGGAUGAAGGGAGCUUGCUCCUGGAUUCAGCGGCGGACGGGUGAGUAAUGCCUAGGAAUCUGCCUGGUAGUGGGGGAUAACGUCCGGAAACGGGCGCUAAUACCGCAUACGUCCUGAGGGAGAAAGUGGGGGAUCUUCGGACCUCACGCUAUCAGAUGAGCCUAGGUCGGAUUAGCUAGUUGGUGGGGUAAAGGCCUACCAAGGCGACGAUCCGUAACUGGUCUGAGAGGAUGAUCAGUCACACUAGAACGGAGACACGGUCCAGACUCCUACGGGAGGCAGCAGUGGGGAAUAUUGGACAAUGGGCGAAAGCCUGAUCCAGCCAUGCCGCGUGUGUGAAGAAGGUCUUCGGAUUGUAAAGCACUUUAAGUUGGGAGGAAGGGCAGUAAGCUAAUACCUUGCUGUUUUGACGUUACUAACAGAAUAAGCACCGGCUAACUUCGUG